rnacentral:tRNA from 1 species
UCCCCCAUGGUGUAAUCGGCAGCACUGCGCACUUUGACUGCGCCUGUUCAGGUUCGAGUCCUGAUGGGGGAG